GUCAUUUGUACCCUCAAGCUCUGCUUGGUGUUGGGUGUUUGUUCCGCCGUGCGCGUGAACUCGCCUCAAAUCAAUUGGCAGCCGGCAGUCUGGUGUUUGAGCGCAGCACAUUUUGCGCUCUUCACUAUACUGCGGCGUCCAUGAAGCCUAUAUUUUAUGCGCUUGACCUCGGAUCAGGUAGGGAUACCCGCUGAACUUAA
rnacentral:misc_RNA from 1 species